rnacentral:rRNA from 1 species
CCCUUAGAUGUUCUGGGCCGCACGCGCGCUACACUGGUUCAGUCAACGAGUUCAUUUCACCUUGAUCGAGAGGUCUGGGUAAUCUUCGAAACUGAAUCGUGAUGGGGAUAGUUCAUUGUAAUUGUUGAACUUAAACGAGGAAUUCCUAGUAAACGUGAGUCAUCAGCUCACAUUGAUUACGUCCCUGCCCUUUGUACACACCGCCCGUCGCUACUACCGAUUGAGCAUUAGGGUGAAAUCUUCGGACCGUGGCAUACUUCUGGCCUAGCCAGUCUUUGUCCGUGGGAGGUCGCUUAAAUCCUGAUGCUUAGAGGAAGUAAAAGUCGUAACA